CACGUAGGGGGCAAGCGUUGUCCGGAUUUAUUGGGCGUAAAGAGCUCGUAGGCGGUUCGGUAAGUCGGGUGUGAAACCUCCAGGCUCAACCUGGAGACGCCACCCGAUACUGCUGUGACUCGAGUCCGGUAGGGGAGCGUGGAAUUCCUGGUGUAGCGGUGAAAUGCGCAGAUAUCGGGAGGAACACCAGUAGCGAAGGCGGCUCGCUGGGCCGUUCCUGACGCUGAGACGCGAAAGCUAGGGGAGCGAACAGG
rnacentral:rRNA from 1 species